ensembl:lncRNA
CCUACCUUCAGGUUAUCUACAGAACAGCAAGAGGCACUGUCCCUCCCUACCUUCAGGUUAUCUACAGAACAGCAACUGUCCCUCCCUACCUUCAGGUUACCUACAGAACAGCAAGAGGCAAUGUCCCUCCCUACCUUCAGGUUAUCUACAGAACAGCAACUGUCCCUCCCUACCUCCAGGUUAUCUACAGAACAGCAACUGUCCCUCCCUACCUUCAGGUUAUCUACAGAACACCAAGAGGACCUGCCCCUCCCUACCUUCAGGUUAUCUACGGAACAGCAACUGUCCCUCCCUACCUUCAGGUUAUCUACGGAACAGCAAGAGGACCUGCCCCUCCCUACCUUCAGGUUAUCUACGGAACUGCCCCUCCCUACCUUCAGGUUACCUACAGAACAGCAAGAGAAACUGCCCCUCCCUACCUUCAGGCGAUGCCACCUCAUGUCUCUUUUCCCUCCCACCCCUACAGAAGGGCUGGUCCCGCUCAGCCAGUCAUGUCAGUCUAAUCUCUUCUCUGUCCACCCCAUUGGUGGAACCAGCUGGUCUUCCUACAGUGCCGUCGGAAAGUAUUCAGACCCCUUGACUUAUUCCACAUUUUGUUACGUAACAGCCCUAUUCUGAAAUGUAUUAAAUUAUUUUUUCCCCUCAUCAAUCUAUUCACAAUACCCCAUAAUGACGAAGCAAAAACAAGGUUAUAGCAUCAGAGCUUUUGAGAAGCCUAGUUACCGUGACUAAACGGUAACGUGGAGCACAUCAACACAGUCGUGAAAACAACCAGGCCCUCUAUUCCCCCUCAGGAGGCUGAAAAGAUUUGUCACGGUCCCCAGAUCUUUAAAAAGUUCUACAGCUGCACCAUCGAGAGCAUGGUUGCUCUGGUUGCUCUGCAUCUGACCGCGAUGUGCUAUAGAGGGUAGUGCGUACGGCCCAGUACAUCACUGGGGUUGAGCUCCCUGACAUCCAGGACAUCAGGCCCUAAAAGUUGUCUUAGACUCCAGCCAUCCAAGACACAGACUCUUCUCUCUGCUACAGCAUGGGACCAAAAAAGCUCCUUCACAGUUUAACAGCUUCUACCACCAAGCCAUAUGACGGCUACCAGGACUAUUUACAAAUGGCUAUCAGGACUAUUUACAAAUGGCUAUCAGGACUAUUUACAAAUGGCUAUCAGGACUAUUUACAAAUGGCUACCAGGACUAUUUACAAAUGGCUACCAGGACUAUUUACAAAUGGCUAUCAGGACUAUUUACAAAUGGCUAUCAGGACUAUUUACAAAUGGCUACCAGGACUAUUUACAAAUGGCUACCAGGACUAUUUACAAAUGGCUAUCAGGACUAUUUACAAAUGGCUACCAGGACUAUUUACAAAUGGCUACCAGGACUAUUUACAAAUGGCUAUCAGGACUAUUUACAAAUGGCUACCAGGACUAUUUACAAAUGGCUACCAGGACUAUUUACAAAUGGCUACCAGGACUAUUAAUAUUGACCCCCUUAUUUUAUUAUUAUGUAUUAUUACUUUUUACACUGUACAGGCGAAACGGACACACACACACACACACACACACACACACACACACACACACACACACACACACACACACACACACCAUAUUGAUGCCACACACACCAAGACACACACACACACACACACACACACACACACACACACACACACACACCAUAUUGAUGCCACACACACUAAGACACACACACACACACACACACACACACACCAUAUUGAUGCCACACACACUAAGACACACACACACACACACACACACACACACACACACACACACACACACACACACACACACACACACACACACACACACACCAUAUUGAUGCCACACACACUAAGACACACACACACACACACACACACACACACACACACACACACACACACACACACACACCAUAUUGAUGCCACACACACUAAGACACACACACACACACACACACACACACACACACACACACCAUAUUGAUGCCACACACACUAAGACACACACACACACACACACACACACACACACACACACACACACACACACACACACACAUAUUGAUGCCACACACACAAAGACACACACACACACACACACACACACACACACACACACACAUAUUGAUGCCACACACACUAAGACACACACACACACACACACACACCAUAUUGAUGCCACACACACUAAGACACACACACACACACACACACACACACCAUAUUGAUGCCACACACACUAAGACACACACACACACACCACUGCACAUGGACUCGGUAGUGGUAUUGUUUUUGUUAUUUUCUUGUAUUUUUUUCCAUUUAGUUUAUUUAGCAAAUGUUUCUUACUUACUUUUUAUAACUCUUAACACUCUGCGUUGUUGGAUAAGGGCUCGUAAGUAAGCAUUUCAUGGUAAACCUGUUGUAUUCCAGCAUGUGUGACAAAUACAAUAAUAACAAAUAACGAAUUUCAUUUCAUUUAGUUGACACAGUGAAAAGAAGGAAGUCUGCGCAGAGUAAAAAUACACCAACACAUGCAUCCUUUUUGCAACAAGGUACUAAGGUAAUACUGCAAAAGAAAUGUGGCAAAGCCCUUUUUGUCCUGAAUACAGAGUGUCCUGAAUACAGAGUGUCCUGAAUACAGAGUGUCCUGAAUACAGAGUGUCCUGAAUACAGAGUGUCCUGAAUACAGAGUGUCCUGAAUACAGUGUCCUGAAUACAGAGUGUCCUGAAUACAGAGUGUCCUGAAUACAGAGUGUCCUGAAUACAGAGUGUCCUGAAUACAGAGUGUCCUGAAUACAGAGUGUCCUGAAUACAGAGUGACCUGAAUACAGAGUGUCCUGAAUACAGAGUGUCCUGAAUACAGAGUGUCCUGAAUACAGAGUGUCCUGUAUGGGACUUUAAAUGUUUAAUGUUCUUGAGAGUUUAAUUUUUUAUUUAUUUUUAUACUUAAAUCGAUUUUAAAAUCUAUGGCUAGACUUGAAAAUGGCUGUCUAGUAAUGAUCAACAAUCAACUUGACAGAGCUUGAAGAAUUUAAGAAAGUGUAAAUAUUGUACAAAUAUUGUACAAUCCAGGUGUGGAAAGCUCUUAGAGACUUACCCAGAAAGACUCCGAGCUGUAAUCGCUACCAAAGGUGAUUCUAACAUGUAUUGACUCAGGGGAGUGAAUACUUAAGUAAGAUAUUUGUGUAUUUGAUCGAUUUGCUAAAUAAAAAAUAAAAAACACUAUGUCAUUGUGGGUUACUGUCUGUAGAUGGG